rnacentral:rRNA from 1 species
GACGAACGCUGGCGGCGUGCUUAACACAUGCAAGUCGAACGGAAAGGCCCCUUUGGGGGUACUCGAGUGGCGAACGGGUGAGUAACACGUGAGUAACCUGCCCUUGACUUCGGGAUAACUUCAGGAAACUGGGGCUAAUACCGGAUACGAAUCCUUGCUGCAUGGGGGGGGUUGGAAAGCUUCGGCGGGUUUUGAUGGACUCGCUGCUUAUCAGCUUGUUGGUGGGGUAGUGGCUUACCAAGGCUUUGACGGGUAGCCGGCCUGAGAGGGCGACCGGCCACAUUGGGACUGAGAUACGGCCCAGACUCCUACGGGAGGCAGCAGGGGGGAAUAUUGCACAAUGGGCGGAAGCCUGAUGCAGCAACGCCGCGGGCGGGAUGACGGCCUUCGGGUGGUAAACCGCUUUCAGCAGGGGCGAAGCUUGUGGUGACGGUACCUGCAGAAGAAGCACCGGCUAACUACGUG